GACGAACGCUGGCGGCGUGCUUAACACAUGCAAGUCGAACGGAAAGGCCCUGCUUUUGUGGGGUGCUCGAGUGGCGAACGGGUGGGUAACACGUGAGUAACCUGCCCUUGACUUUGGGAUAACUUCAGGAAACUGGGGCUAAUACCGGAUAGGAGCUCCUGCUGCAUGGUGGGGGUUGGAAAGUUUCGGCGGUUGGGGAUGGACUCGCGGCUUAUCAGCUUGUUGGUGGGGUAGUGGCUUACCAAGGCUUUGACGGGUAGCCGGCCUGAGAGGGUGACCGGCCACAUUGGGACUGAGAUACGGCCCAGACUCCUACGGGAGGCAGCAGUGGAGAAUAUUGCACAAUGGGCGGAAGCCUGAUGCAGCAACGCCGCGUGCGGGAUGACGGCCUUCGGGUUGUAAACCGCUUUCGCCUGUGACGAAGCGUGAGUGACGGUAAUGGGUAAAGAAGCACCGGCUAACUACGUG
rnacentral:rRNA from 1 species